rnacentral:rRNA from 1 species
CCUACGGGUGGCAGCAGUCGAGAAUCAUUCACAAUGGGGGAAACCCUGAUGGUGCGACGCCGCGUGGGGGAAUGAAGGUCUUCGGAUUGUAAACCCCUGUCAUGUGGGAGCAAAUUAAAACGAUCGUACCACAAGAGGAAGAGACUGCUAACUCUGUGCCAGCAGCCGCGGUACUACAGAGGUCUCAAGCGUUGUUCGGAAUCACUGGGCGUAAAGCGUGCGUAGGCUGUUUCGUAAGUCGUGUGUGAAAGGCGCGGGCUCAACCCGCGGACGGCACAUGAUACUGCGAGACUAGAGUAAGGGAGGGGGAACCGGAAUUCGCGGUGUAGCAGUGAAAUGCGUAGAUAUCGAGAGGAACACUCGUGGCGAAGGCGGGUUCCUGGACAUUAACUGACGCUGAGGCACGAAGGCCAGGGGAGCGAAAGGGAUUAGAUACCCCUGUAGUC